rnacentral:rRNA from 1 species
UGGCCUCAAAUCAGGUAGGGCUACCCGCUGAACUUAAGCAUAUCAAUAAGCGGAGGAAAAGAAACUAACUAGGAUUCCCUUAGUAACGGCGAGUGAACCGGGAUGAGCUCAAAUUUGAAAUCUGGCGUCUUUCAGGCGUCCGAGUUGUAAUCUAUAGAGGCGUUUUCCGCGCCGGACCGCGUCCAAGUCUCUUGGAAUAGAGUAUCAAAGAGGGUGACAAUCCCGUACUUGACGCGACAACCGGUGCUCUGUGAUACGUUCUCAACGAGUCGAGUUGUUUGGGAAUGCAGCUCUAAAUGGGUGGUAAAUUCCAUCUAAGGCUAAAUAUUGGCGAGAGACCGAUAGCGAACAAGUACCGUGAGGGAAAGAUGAAAAGCACUUUGGAAAGAGAGUUAAACAGCACGUGAAAUUGUUAAAAGGGAAACGAUUGAAGUCAGUCGUGUGAAAGGUAUUCAGCCGUCUCUGGCGGUGUAUUUGCCUUUCACGGGUCAACAUCAGUUUAGUCCGGUAGAAAAAGGCUGGAGGAAGGUGGCACCCUCGGGUGUGUUAUAGCCUCCUGUCAUAUGUGCCGGAUUAGACUGAGGAACGCAGCUUGCAGCAAUGCCGGGGUUCGCCCACGUACAAGCUUAGGAUGUUGACAUAAUGGCUUUAAACAA